GGAGAGAUGGCUCAGCGGUUAAGAGCACUGACUGAUCUUCCAGAGUUCCUGAGUUCAAUUCCCAGCAACCACA
rnacentral:tRNA from 1 species